GACGAACGCUGGCGGCGUGCCUAAUACAUGCAAGUUGAGCGCUGAAGGUUGGUACUUGUCCCGACUGGAUGAGCAGCGAACGGGUGAGUAACGCGUGGGGAAUCUGCCUUUGAGCGGGGGACAACAUUUGGAAACGAAUGCUAAUACCGCAUAAAAACUUUAAACACAAGUUUUAAGUUUGAAAGAUGCAAUUGCAUCACUCAAAGAUGAUCCCGCGUUGUAUUAGCUAGUUGGUGAGGUAAAGGCUCACCAAGGCGAUGAUACAUAGCCGACCUGAGAGGGGGAUCGGCCACAUUGGGACUGAGACACGGCCCAAACUCCUACGGGAGGCAGCAGUAGGGAAUCUUCGGCAAUGGACGAAAGUCUGACCGAGCAACGCCGCGUGAGUGAAGAAGGGUUUCGGAUCGUAAAACUCUGUUGGUAGAGAAGAACGUUGGUGAGAGUGGAAAGCUCAUCAAGUGACGGUAACUACCCAGAAAGGGACGGCUAACUACGUG
rnacentral:rRNA from 1 species